rnacentral:misc_RNA from 1 species
GGAUGAAGAACGUAGCGAAAUGCGAUAAGUAAUGUGAAUUGCAGAAUUCAGUGAAUCAUCGAAUCUUUGAACGCACAUUGCGCCCGCCAGUAUUCUGGCGGGCAUGCCUGUUCGAGCGUCAUUUCAACCAUCAAGCCCCGGGCUUGUGUUGGGGACCUGCGGCUGCCGCAGGCCCUGAAAUGCAGUGGCGGGCUCGCUGUCACUCCGAGCGUAGUAAUACAUCUCGCUCUGGACGUGCUGCGGGUUCCGGCCGUUAAAAGCCUUAUUUACCCAAGGUUGACCUCGGAUCAGGUAGGAAGACCCGCUGAACUUAAGCAUAUCAAUAAGCGGAGGA